rnacentral:rRNA from 1 species
UACGUAGGGUGCAAGCGUUGUCCGGAAUUAUUGGGCGUAAAGAGCUCGUAGGCGGUUCGUCGCGUCGGCUGUGAAAACCCGGAGCUCAACUCCGGGCCUGCAGUCGAUACGGGCGGACUUGAGUGUUGCAGGGGAGACUGGAAUUCCUGGUGUAGCGGUGGAAUGCGCAGAUAUCAGGAGGAACACCGGUGGCGAAGGCGGGUCUCUGGGCAGUAACUGACGCUGAGGAGCGAAAGCGUGGGGAGCGAACAGG